CCAGAUCCCUCGUGCGGCGUUACCGCACUGAACUCCCCCAGGGUAGGAAUACAGCAAGGGUAGGUGCGCUCUGGUGGGUGCACGAGGGAUCCCUUAU
rnacentral:SRP_RNA from 1 species